UGGAUAGUAAUCAGUUAUACUAUUUCAUACCUGUUAGAAGGUAUAUAUGAGACAGAGUAGAAUCAAAUAUAUAUGGGAUAGACACUAGAAAACUGCAAGGCGUCGUAUGUUGUUUGUUCGAAAAAUCCUUGGAAUGCCUUGACUUUGGCCUCACACACGCCGAGAUGUGAACCUGAUGCCUGAUUAUUAUCGUUCCUUCAUUGUAUGAGAGAUGUUCCUGCACAUGCUCUUUUCUCUAAGAAGGCAUAUUUCCUUGCUUGACGAAGGUUGCAUCUCUACAUGGAAGGUUUGUAUGCAUAUCUUGUCAUGUAUAUUUUUUCAUGAAAACAUAAGGUGGGCAGUAGGCAUCAAUCUGUUGUAGGUUCAGAGUUGACAGUGUCGACAACUUUGUAUGGUUAAAGAAUAUUCCAAGUAUUUCCACUAUUGCAAGAUAACAACUUUGAUCACUUAUGAUAAGAUGUUUUGGUGUUAAGUUUCUAUUUUUUUAUGGACCAAGAAGAUGAAUUAUUUCGGCAACAUCAAUUGCAUUUGUACUAUCAACAAAAGACUUGUUGCUUGGACAGUUUUACAUUUAGAGGUACACUAUUAUCUCUGCAGUUUAUUGUUACUUCUAAAGCUCAAUAACAUCCAUGCGUAGAUGCAAUGCCAGUCGAUUUAUGGUUGUCAAUGUUAAUAUUUCUCAAUUCAUUUUGCAGCAACGGACCCGCUGUGGUAGUAGUAGUGAGGUGGAUAUAUCUGCAAGGACAUGAGACAUGUAGAACCAUUGAAAUAUUUAUAUCCACUACAUAAAAGGAUGUACACAUAAGCUCGGUAUGUGCUCGGAGAAGGUGCGGUGUUCGAUGAACAAAAUGUUGUGUCGUGGUGGUGGUCGCCCUCGGCUACGAUGAAGUGUACUCCUUGGAGGAGCGGCCGGUGACGCCGUGGAAGGGAGAGGAGUGGCCGAUGACGCCGUGGAGAGGAGGGAACACGGAGGUGUGAGAGCAAGGUGCGUGCUAAAUGAUGUGGCAUCGAAGGGAGGCAACAAUGAGAAGCCGUGGUGGGCAGAGCAGCCGCGGAAUGAGUUGUGGGUGUGAGCAUUGUGUUGUGCGAUGAGAGUGAUAAAUAGAUUUUUGUAAGAACAAAAGAAAAGGAGUGGUCGUUUGCCUUCUUAGGGAAAGCAAUUGUUUGCUACGAGAUAAAUGUCACAUACUUUUCUAUAUAGUGAAAAUAUCACAAAUCCUAACAAGUCAUUUCUGAUGAAUAAUUAGCAACAAGUGAUUUAUAUGUGAGCCUAUAAGAUAUUAAAAUUGGGAUGUCACUCACUAUUAAGAAACACGAUGCCACGAUCCUGCUUGCAGCAAGGAGCUAACCAAUGAAUAUAUAUUAAGCUUAUUUUU
rnacentral:lncRNA from 1 species